AACGAACGCUGGCGGCAUGCCUAACACAUGCAAGUCGAACGAGACCUUCGGGUCUAGUGGCGCACGGGUGCGUCACGCGUGGGAACCUGCCCUUAGGUUCGGAAUAACUCCCCGAAAGGGGUGCUAAUACCGGAUAAUGUCUUCGGACCAAAGAUUUAUCGCCUUUGGAUGGGCCCGCGUUGGAUUAGCUAGUUGGUAGGGUCAAAGCCUACCAAGGCGACGAUUCAUAGCUGGUCUGAGAGGAUGAUCAGCAACACUGGGACUGAGACACGGCCCAGACUCCUACGGGAGGCAGCAGUGGGGAAUAUUGGACAAUGGGCGAAAGCCUGAUCCAGCAAUGCCGCGUGAGUGAUGAAGGCCUUAGGGUUGUAAAGCUCUUUUAACCGGGAUGAUAAUGACAGUACCGGGAGAAUAAGCUCCGGCUAACUCCGUG
rnacentral:rRNA from 1 species